ACCCUGUCCAUGUUUCUCUGUUUUUGGUGUACACAUGUAUGUAAGCAGUACACAACAGAAAACUUACAUAAUUAUCUCUGUGAAAUUUCUUCCAGUGUCUAGCAGAAGGAGGUGAUCUAAAUUCCUUUGAGUUUAAGUCAUUAACAGAUUCAUUGAAUGACAUUAAGAAUUCUAUAGAUUCUACUAAUAUCAGCUGUUUCCAGAAUAAUGUAGAGAUCCAUGUUGCACAUAUCCAGAGUGGCCUCAGCCAAAUGGGAAAUUUACAUGCUUUUGCUGCAAAUAACACUAACAGAGACUGAGAGAAACAUUUAUACUCCAAGUGUACAGAGUAUAGUAGAAGAAAAUACUUGGUGUAUAUGCUUUACCAAAUAUUCUACCAAUUGGAAGACAAAGGAAGAAAAGAUAUUUUGAGAGUGUUUGUACUACUUCUGAAGAAACCAGCAUAAAAUUACCAGCAUUGCUAUGGACUUCAUCACUUGCUAUGCACAUAAUAUUAUCUUGUUUUAACAGCUAAACUUUAGUUGUAAUGUGUGUGUGUUUGUUGUUUUAAACUGAAAGUUAUGCAGACACGUUUUCAUAAAAGGAAAAACUAAAUGUGGCUGCAACACAUUUUUGCAGCACAUAGUUUACUGGCAACUAUACUAGAAGUUUUUGAAAACAGUAAAACUAAUAUGACACAGUUGAGGGAUCAUAUUAGUAAUUUCUUCUUAUUGGAAACCAUGAUUGCUCAUACUGUGACUUAAUAGCUUUUUUAUUUUAGCCUCUGAACAGUGUGCUAAUUGAUAAAGCAGUAUAUAUAUAUAUAUUCCUGUGUUUGAGAAAUAGCAGGAUAAUAGAAUACCUGAAGGAGUAAUAGCAAAUAGAUUACUAUUGUACACUUGUGGAUACUGGGAAUCCCUGUAAAUCAGUUAAUAUCUUUGGAAUAUUUAAUUUAUUAUAACUUAUAAAAGUACAUGAAUGAAGGAAUAGAAAAGACUAAAAGUUUUUUUAGUUAAGAUAUUUCACACAAAUAACUGGUAAUACUUUCCACUGAUUGGUUUGCACAAUUUAAACUAAAAACCUGGUUAUCAAGCAAUUCAUAUAAUUUUAUAAUGCAAUUGGAUAGCCAGUCCUCCAAACUGCCUUAAAAACUAAAGACCCGAGGAGUGUAGAAAAAUGUUGAUCUUGUAAAAAGGGUGUAUUGAGUUGUUAUAUUUAGUAUAACCUUGUAAAGCUUCAGUGUAAUAAAUUGUUUUCAGAUUAGAAUUUUCAGAUAGCUGUAGCAAUGUUUUGAUUCCUUAGUACCUCAUAAAAUGAGGUCUUUUGUAUGUUAAUGUAUAAAGAAAAUGUAAACAAUUAUUUUCAAUUUAAAAUUUUGUAUAGUUUUAAAAAUGAAUCUAUAUUCUGUGUCUGCAUUUAUGCUGCUUCAGAAUUUAACUGCAGAGUCUCUAUUUAGCAAAGCCUGUUCUUUUAAGAAAUGCAUAAAUUUUAUUCUCAUUGAGUGAUGAGAAGGCUGCAAUGUUUUACAAAAGUUGGAAACCAUUUUAAACAUGAAAAGGUUGAAAUAAUUUUCAGAAAUGAAAUAACUGUGUUCAGAAAUGCAUUCUUACCUGAUAUGGAGAUGUAAGGCAAAAAUUCUUAAUACUGGGAAAAUGUAUUUAGUGAAAGUUUGACGAGCCUUAUCUGGAAGGCAUUACAUUAAACCAAAAGAAGGAGACAGAAA